CUUUACUGUAGUUUGAGAUUGACUCACUUUUCUUUUUGCGCAGCAUAGGUGGGAGACGAAGAAGAUAAAUUUUCGGAGUUAUUGGAGUCAUCAGUGAGAUACCACCCAAAAAGCAACGCGAGUCUUAUUUUAUAUCGUUAUCCGAUUAAAAAACAGUUUCUGAUGGUCAGUUUAACUGGGGCGGUUGCCUCCUAAAAAGUAACGGAGGCGCACAAAGGUUUCCUCAAAUCGAUCAGAAAUCGAUUUUAGAGCGCAAAGGCAUAAGGAAGCUUAACUGUUAGACUAACAAGUCGAGCAGAAACGAAAGUUGGUCUUAGUGAUCUGACGUGGCUCGGUGGAAAGCGCGUCACUUAACGGAUAAAAGUUA
rnacentral:rRNA from 1 species